rnacentral:tRNA from 1 species
GGGAAUGUGGCUUAGUGGUAAAGUGCUUGCCUAACAUGCAUGAAGCCCUGGGUUCGAUUCCUCAGUACCA